rnacentral:rRNA from 1 species
AUUGAACGCUAGCGACAGGCCUAACACAUGCAAGUCGAGGCGCAGCACAUGCGCAGCAAUACAAUGGUGGCGACCGGCGCACGGGUGAGUAACACGUAUGCAACCUACCUGUAAGAGGGGAAUAACCCGGAGAAAUUCGGACUAACACCGCAUAAUACCUAGAAGCUGCAUGGCUUGGAGGUUUAAUAUUUAUAGCUUACAGAUGGGCAUGCGUAACAUUAGAUAGUUGGUGAGGUAACGGCUCACCAAGUCAACGAUGUUUAGGGGUUCUGAGAGGAAGGUCCCCCACACUGGUACUGAGACACGGACCAGACUCCUACGGGAGGCAGCAGUGAGGAAUAUUGGUCAAUGGGCGAGAGCCUGAACCAGCCAAGUCGCGUGAAGGAAGAAGGUUCUAUGGAUUGUAAACUUCUUUUGUAAGGGAAUAAAAAAGCUUACGUGUAGGCUAUUGUAUGUACUUUACGAAUAAGGAUCGACUAACUCCGUGCCAGCCGCCGCAGUAACAC